GUCCUACAGGCAGCAUAUUGGUAUGACAGCUUCGAACUUCAGAUACAGUCAUAUGCAUCUCAAAGGAAAAUCUUUGCUUGUGAAGAUCCCUUGGUUGUUUCUACUGGACACCAAGAUAAUGGCAUGUACUGCAGAGAGAACUAUGCAGGUCAACGGAAACAGCCUGGGCAGAUCAGUGCAUUCGUAAAUGUGAAACAAGCCCUCACCAUCAUGUUUGGCACUAAGAGGAUUAAUCUGUGAUGUUCAUCGCGCACUCACCUCUGACAGGCAGCAAAGGAGCAGCAAUGACCUGGCGAGAGGAGGGGGCAGGUUAACACACGGUGCUUUUGCUGCUGCCAGCCCAUGAAGCUGUCAUUUGUAAUGCAAACGGGAGGGUGGGAAUGCUCUGCUGUCUGCAUGACUCAGCCUCCGACAUCAAGAGUGGCCCUGAAAAUGGCAUUGAAAUGACGGCAUAACCUGAAGACGAGGAUGUACAAUGACAUUACAACAGUGAAAGG
rnacentral:lncRNA from 1 species